rnacentral:rRNA from 1 species
GGUGUGACUGCGUACCUUUUGUAUAAUGGGUCAGCGACUUAUAUUCUGUAGCAAGGUUAACCGAAUAGGGGAGCCGCAGGGAAACCGAGUCUUAACUGGGCGUCUUAGUUGCAGGGUAUAGACCCGAAACCCGGUGAUCUAGCCAUGGGCAGGUUGAAGGUUGGGUAACACUAACUGGAGGACCGAACCGACUAAUGUUGAAAAAUUAGCGGAUGACUUGUGGCUGGGGGUGAAAGGCCAAUCAAACCGGGAGAUAGCUGGUUCUCCCCGAAAGCUAUUUAGGUAGCGCCUCGUGAACUCAUCUCCGGGGGUAGAGCACUGUUUCGGCUAGGGGGUCAUCCCGACUUACCAACCCGAUGCAAACUGCGAAUACCGGAGAAUGUUAUCACGGGAGACACACGGCGGGUGCUAACGUUCGUCGUGAAGAGGGAAACAACCCAGACCGCCGGCUAAGGUCCCAAAGUCAUAAUUAAGUGGGAAACGAAGUGGGAAGGCUCAGACAGCCAGGAUGUUGGCUUAGAAGCAGCCAUCAUUUAAAGAAAGCGUAAUAGCUCACUGGUCGAGUCGGCCUGCGCGGAAGAUGUAACGGGGCUAAAUUAUGCACCGAAGCCGCGGCAGCGAUAUGUAAAUAUUGUUGGGUAGGGGAGCGUUCUGUAAGCCUGUGAAGGUGUGCUGUGAGGCAUGCUGGAGGUAUCAGAAGUGCGAAUGCUGACAUAAGUAACGAUAAUGCGGGUGAAAAACCCGCACGCCGGAAGACCAAGGGUUCCUGUCCAACGUUAAUCGGGGCAGGGUGAGUCGACCCCUAAGGCGAGGCUGAAAAGCGUAGUCGAUGGGCAACGGGUUAAUAUUCCCGUACUGGUGGUAACUGCGAAGGGGGGACGGAGAAAGCUAAAUCAUCCGGGCGACGGUUGUCCCGGUUUAAGCGUGCAGGUGGACUGACCAGGCAAAUCCGGUCGGUUGUUAACACUGAGGCGUGACGACGAGCCACUACGGUGGUGAAGUGAUUGAUGCUCUGCUUCCGGGAAAAGCCUCUAAGCUCCAGGUUACCAUUAAUCGUACCCCAAACCGACACAGGUGGUCAGGUAGAGAAUACUCAGGCGCUUGAGAGAACUCGGGUGAAGGAACUAGGCAAAAUGGUGCCGUAACUUCGGGAGAAGGCACGCUGGCACUAGGUGAAGU